rnacentral:lncRNA from 1 species
UCAUAUCUAUUUUGUUAUCAGCUUCCCUUUACCCCACCACAUAUUAGAGUGUCAAACGAGGGAGUGCAAGUGAGGGCAGCUGUGCCAAGUGAACGGAUGAUUGCACACUAUGUUGCACAAGCAAGGCGUGUGAGAGGUAUGCAAGGAUCUAUCCUGACACAUUGAAGUGCCAAAAAAGGACCCUUGACAUGCGAAGUGCAUACAAACAUCAAGGUUUUACCAGACACCCCUAAAGCAUCAAGAGAACCCAAUCUGGCAUGUUGUGUUGCAUAAAUGACAUGCACGAGGGGUAGGGGGGCCCUGUAUUAACACAUCUGAAGUGCUAGGGCAGCCUUACUUAGGGCGUGCUGCCAUGUAUAGUAUGUCCA